GACGUAGGGCGCGAGCGUUGUCCGGAUUUAUUGGGCGUAAAGAGCGCGCAGGCGGUCGUUCAAGUCGAGUGUGAAAGCCCCCGGCUCAACUGGGGAGGGUCACUCGAUACUGAUCGACUCGAAGGCAGGAGAGGGUAGUGGAAUUCCCGGUGUAGUGGUGAAAUGCGUAGAUAUCGGGAGGAACACCAGUGGCGAAGGCGACUACCUGGCCUGUUCUUGACGCUGAGGCGCGAAAGCUAGGGGAGCAAACGGG
rnacentral:rRNA from 1 species